CCUUCGAUAGCUCAGCUGGAAGAGCGUGGGACUGUAAUUGGAUAAUCUUGACAUCCCAAGGUCACUGGUUCGAUCCCGGUUCGAAGGA
rnacentral:tRNA from 1 species